AUUGAACGCUGGCGGCAGGCCUAACACAUGCAAGUCGAACGAGUGGCGGACGGGUGAGUAAUGUCUGGGAAACUGCCUGAUGGAGGGGGAUAACUACUGGAAACGGUAGCUAAUACCGCAUACCAUCAGAUGUGCCCAGAUGGGAUUGGCUAGUUGGUGGGGUAACGGCUCACCAAGGCGACGAUCCCUAGCUGGUCUGAGAGGAGGACCAGCCACACUGGAACUGAGAAACGGUCCAGACUCCUACGGGAGGCAGCGGGGGGGAAUAUUGCACAAUGGGCGAAGGCCUGAUGCAGCAAGGCCGGGUGUAUGAAGAAGGCCUUCGGGUUGUAAAGUACUUUCGGCGGGGAGGCGUUACCCGCAGAGGAAGCACCGGCUAAUUCCGUGCCAGCAGCCGCGUAAUAC
rnacentral:rRNA from 1 species